rnacentral:rRNA from 1 species
AUUGAACGCUGGCGGCAUGCCUUACACAUGCAAGUCGAACGGUAACAGGUUAAGCUGACGAGUGGCGAACGGGUGAGUAAUGUAUCGGAACGUGCCCAGUCGUGGGGGAUAACUGCUCGAAAGAGCAGCUAAUACCGCAUACGACCUGAGGGUGAAAGCGGGGGAUCGCAAGACCUCGCGCGAUUGGAGCGGCCGAUAUCAGAUUAGGUAGUUGGUGAGGUAAAGGCUCACCAAGCCGACGAUCUGUAGCUGGUCUGAGAGGACGACCAGCCACACUGGGACUGAGACACGGCCCAGACUCCUACGGGAGGCAGCAGUGGGGAAUUUUGGACAAUGGGCGCAAGCCUGAUCCAGCCAUGCCGCGUGCGGGAAGAAGGCCUGCGGGUUGUAAACCGCUUUUGUCAGGGAAGAAAAGGUUCUGGCUAAUACCUGGGACUCAGGACGGUACCUGAAGAAUAAGCACCGGCUAACUACGG